AUACGGAGGAUCCGAGCGUUAUCCGGAUUUAUUGGGGUUAAAGGGUGCGCAGGCGGCCAUUUAAGUCAGCGGUUAAAUCGUGGGGCUCAACCCCAUUCUGCCGUUGAUACUGGGUGGCUUGAUUGCGGUCGAGGUUGGCGGAAUUCGUUGUGUAGCGGUGAAAUGCAUAGAUAUGACGAAGAACACCGAUUGCGUAGGCAGCUGACCAGACCGCAAAUGACGCUCAUGCACGAAAGUGCGGGGAUCGAACAGGAUUAGAUACCCUGGUAGUCCGCACAGUAAACGACGAAUACUUGUUUUCGGCGAUAUAAUGUCGGAGGCAAAGCGAAAGCGAUAAGUAUUCCACCUGGGGAGUACGCCGGCAACGGUGAAACUCAAAGGAAUUGACGGGG
rnacentral:rRNA from 1 species